rnacentral:rRNA from 1 species
AUUGAACGCUGGCGGCAGGCCUAACACAUGCAAGUCGAGCGGAUGAAGGGGGCUUGCUCCUGGAUUCAGCGGCGGACGGGUGAGUAACGCCUAGGAAUCUGCCUGGUAGUGGGGGAUAACGUCCGGAAACGGGCGCUAAUACCGCAUACGUCCUGAGGGAGAAAGUGGGGGAUCUUCGGACCUCACGCUAUCAGAUGAGCCUAGGUCGGAUUAGCUAGUUGGUGGGGUAAAGGCCUACCAAGGCGACGAUCCGUAACUGGUCUGAGAGGAUGAUCAGUCACACUGGAACUGAGACACGGUCCAGACUCCUACGGGAGGCAGCAGUGGGGAAUAUUGGACAAUGGGCGAAAGCCUGAUCCAGCCAUGCCGCGUGUGUGAAGAAGGUCUUCGGAUUGUAAAGCACUUUAAGUUGGGAGGAAGGGCAGUAAGUUAAUACCUUGCUGUUUUGACGUUACCAACAGAAUAAGCACCGGCUAACUUCGUG